GCCGGCUUAGCUCAUUUGGUAGAGCAGUUGAUUUGUAAUCAUCAGGUGACCCGUUCGAUUCGGGUAGCCGGCACCA
rnacentral:tRNA from 2 species